rnacentral:tRNA from 1 species
AAAUAAGAAGCAAUUUUGCAUUUAAUUUCGACUUAAAAAGAUGGAUAUAAUUAAUUAUCCCUUAUUUA